rnacentral:rRNA from 1 species
UACGGAGGGUGCUAGCGUUGUUCGGAAUUACUGGGCGUAAAGGGCGCGUAGGCGGCCGUUUGCGUCGGAUGUGAAAGCCCGGGGCUCAACCUCGGAACGGCAUUCGAUACGGGACGGCUGGAGACCGGGAGAGGAGAGUGGAAUAGCCAGUGUAGAGGUGAAAUUCGUAGAUAUUGGCUGGAACACCGGUGGCGAAAGCGGCUCUCUGGCCCGGUUCUGACGCUGAGGCGCGAAAGCGUUGGGAGCAAACAGG